AACGUAGGACGCAAGCGUUAUCCGGAGUUACUGGGCGUAAAGCGCGGGAAGGCGGCCUCGCAAGUCUGAUGUGAAAGCACUCUGCUCAACAGAGUGAUGCCAUUGGAAACUACGAGGCUGGAGUCUGGCAGAGGUAGGCGGAAUUCCGGGUGGAGUGGUGAAAUGCGUAGAGAUCCGGAGGAACACCAGAGGCGAAGGCGGCCUACUGGGCCAGUACUGACGCUGAGCCGCGAAAGCCGGGGGAGCGAACGGG
rnacentral:rRNA from 1 species